rfam:Cavia porcellus supercont2_3 genomic scaffold, whole genome shotgun sequence.
GGGGAUUUAGCUCAGUGGCAUGAGCACCUGCCUUGCAUGCAGGCGGUCGUGAGUUCAAUCCACGGUAAAAUCCA